UUUAAUUAGGAAUGUUAUGAGAGAGUGUGUUACCCAACUAAAGAACUUACUGCCUCAAACAACUAAUUGUGUUUUACCUAAUAACCAUCAAAUUCAGAUUCCUAUACAACAAAUUCAACCUAAUAUAGCCAAUAAUUUGGGUGAGUCUUGGGGUGUGCCUGAGAAGGAGAAUGUAGGAGGGGAGGUACAUGGACACUUUUCAUAUUUUGUCAAGUUGCUUAAAGAUGAUGAGGCCAAGAGGGGAGAUAUUGG
rnacentral:lncRNA from 1 species